UUUUUCUUUAACCCUGUUUACCGGGCGCCUCGCGUGACAGUUCCACGGAAGCCCGUGGGUCGCUCGGGAGCCCGCUGUCCAGUUAGGUGCUGGACAGGUGGCCGUGACUCCUACUGGUGUACCGGUGCAGAUUUAAUACCAUGCGUGAGAAUCCCAGCCCCAGUAGGAUCUUUUGUACAACUUUAACUCACGGGUGAAUGGGUCAAUAGAAGAUCUCCACACCACGCCAAACAGAAAACAUCCAAGAUCGGUGUAUUACAUGAAGGCCAAAUUACAUGAAGCAAUUUUAACGCCGUGACAAAUGUAAACAGCUUAAAGAAGCUCGCAUUUAAUUUGCUAUUAAUACAACGCAAACAAGUUUCAAGUUUCAUUACUGAGAACAUCCUCACUCCGAAUUUUCGAAACCCGUCCCCCAGAUUCCCAGCGCCCACUCUCACUCGUGACAGCCCGCCCAGCGCUUACAGAGAUCAGGCUGAAGAAACCGGGCUCCGCGACACCGCCAAAGCGCCUUUCAUUCUUAGAGUCGGAAAUGGAAGAAGGGAAUUUGAUUGCAAACGGGAUCAGGAGGUGGACAGGAGCACGGGGCACAAACUGCUAAAGAGGCAGCUGCAUCUACACAGCGACAGGUCGGAUGAGGGCUGAGUAAUACACGAAAAUGAAAUUUCAGAGCAGGAUCGUCUACAUCCAGUCUGAUCAGGCUCAUUACUGAGGACCGUACGCAGUGGUGAUAAUCUGUGCGCACCUGCUCUCCGAGGAAGGGCUCUGUUGUUAUUAACUCCGCUCUGAUUUACAGAGGGUUUCUCCCAGCUGGGCUGGAGCGGUGUCAGGCUGAUGUGGCUCUGAUUUAUGGAGCACGGCGCCGUCUCCUGGCAGCGCGGGCCUGUGACCCAGUUUCUCACCGGGCCCGAGCUGCGCUCGAGGCAGGGCCAGACACAGACAGCCGGGCCGAGUCUUCAGGAAGGAGCAGUCUGAUGAGGAGAUCGGCUCAGAGUCCCGGUAAGGGUAACAGG
rnacentral:lncRNA from 1 species